GCCGGAGUGGCGGAAUUGGCAGACGCGCUGUCUUGAGGGGGCAGUGCCCGAAAGGGCGUGCGGGUUCGACUCCCGCCUCCGGCACUA
rnacentral:tRNA from 1 species